rnacentral:rRNA from 1 species
UACGUAGGGAGCAAGCGUUAUCCGGAAUUAUUGGGUGUAAAGGGUGCGUAGACGGGAUAACAAGUUGGUUGUGAAACCCCUCGGCUCAACUGAGGAACUGCAACCAAAACUAUUAUUCUUGAGUGCAGGAGAGGAAAGUGGAAUUCCUAGUGUAGCGGUGAAAUGCGUAGAUAUUACACAGAACACCGAUUGCGAAGGCAGCUUGCUAGGCCGGAUCUGACACUGAUGCACGAAAGCGUGGGGAUCGAACAGG